rnacentral:rRNA from 1 species
UACGUAGGGUGCGAGCGUUAAUCGGAAUUACUGGGCGUAAAGCGUGCGCAGGCGGUUUUGUAAGCCAGAUGUGAAAGCCCCCGGGCUUAACCUGGGAAUGGCAUUUGGGGACUGCAAGGCUGGAGUGCGGCAGAGGAGACUGGAAUUCCUGGUGUAGCAGUGAAAUGCGCAGAUAUCGGGAGGAACACCGGUGGCGAAGGCGGUUCUCUGGGCCUGUACUGGACGCUGAGGAGCGAAAGCGUGGGGAGCGAACAGG